rnacentral:rRNA from 1 species
AUUGAACGCUGGCGGCAUGCUUUACACAUGCAAGUCGAACGGUAACAGGUUAAGCUGACGAGUGGCGAACGGGUGAGUAAUGCAUCGGAACGUGCCCGAUCGUGGGGGAUAACGCAGCGCAAGCUGCGCUAAUACCGCAUACGAUCUGAGGAUGAAAGCGGGGGACCGUAAGGCCUCGCGCGAUCGGAGCGGCCGAUGUCAGAUUAGGUAGCUGGUGGGGUAAAGGCUCACCAAGCCAACGAUCUGUAGCUGGUCUGAGAGGACGACCAGCCACACUGGGACUGGGACACGGCCCAGACUCCUACGGGAGGCAGCAGUGGGGAAUUUUGGACAAUGGGCGAAAGCCUGAUCCAGCAAUGCCGCGUGCAGGAAGAAGGCCUUCGGGUUGUAAGCUGCUUUUGUACGGAGCGAAAAGGUUCUCUCUAAUACAGAGGGCUCAUGACGGUACCGUAAGAAUAAGCACCGGCUAACUACGUGCCAGCAGCCGCCGUAAUAC